UGCGGCUGGAACACCUCCUUUCUAGAGACAUAAAAAAGACCUAGGGUCUUACUCUCGCUGUUAGUUCAAAAAAAAAGACUUAAAAUACAGAGUCUCGUAGCUCAGCUGGUUAGAGUACUACACUGAUAAUGUAGGGGUCGGCAGUUCGAGUCUGCCCGGGACUACUUUUAACAAGUAUUUUAAGAGAAAAGGAAAUUUUAGAAGUUGAGUCCUUGAAUUUUGAAAUUUGAGAUUUAAAUUUUGAAAUUAAAAACGGGGGAUUAGCUCAGCUGGCUAGAGCGCCUGCCUUGCACGCAGGAGGUCAUCGGUUCGACUCCGAUAUUCUCCACGAAAAAAAUGAUAAUUAUCAAUUGAUAAUUGUUAAUUGAUUAAAGUUCAUUGACAUAUUGAGAUAAACAUACAAACAAGUAGAAAGAACACAAAAAAAUGUGAAUUUUAAAUUGUGAAUUAUGAAUUGAUUCAUCAUUUAUAAAUUAACAUUUAUAAUUAAAAAAGAAACAAUAAGCAAAAUAAGGGCGUAUGGGGGAUGCCUAG
rnacentral:misc_RNA from 1 species